UGGACGCUCUCGCUGCUUCUGGUGUGAACGUACAGUUUGGCUGCUGACCUCUUAAAGAUGGUGGAAGAACAAUUGUAUUCGGAGAGGCCUAGGGGAGUGGGUAGACUAGCAGCCGUGGAGAUCCCUGGCGAGGCCAUAGAGGGGUAUCUUAUGUAUGGGUUAAAAGUUAAAGAUAUCGCGGCCUUGUAUGGAGUUAGUCGAUGGACGGUACAUCGAUGAAUGCAGCAGUGUGGACUGAAAGUUCAGAGUUGUACUCUGGCAUUGAAAAUACAGAACUGGACCGUUUGGUGAUGGACAUUCAAAGGGAGUAUCGUAUGAUGAGAGCUUUUCUCCAAGCAAGUUGACAUUUGAUUCAGUUUUUUAGGGUACGUGAAUCACUACACAGAGAGGACCCAGAGGGAACACAACUUCGAGCCCUGGCUAACCUGACUCUUCAUUGCAGACAGUACUCCGUUCCUGCUCCGAAUUGCAUGUGGCAUAUAGAUGGAAAUCAUAAAUUAAUACGCUGGCGAUUCGUGAUCCAUGGAGGUAUUGAUGGGUUUAGCCGUCUUGUAGUAUAUCUGAAUGCUGCUACUAACAAUAAUGCCACCACUGUGCUGGAUGCUUUCCUUGGUUCUGUUAGCCAGUAUGGGUUGCCAUCUCGUGUUCGUUCAGAUAAAGGAGGAGAAAACAUUGAGGUGGCUCAAUUUAUGGUACAGAACCGUGGAGAAAACCGCAAUUCUCACAUUACGGGAAGGAGUGUUCACAAUCAGAGGUUGAUGAGGACUAUGUUGUUGACUGGGAUGGACCACAUGCCAUGGAAGAUGCAAACAGCAUUUCAAUCCCAGAUGUGCAGUUGCCACGCAGCCUCACUGCAGAGGAGAUUGCAGGUCUUCCCAACCGGGAUGUUCCACUAAAUGACAUAGUGAAUGUUUAUAAUUCCACAGUGGCACAACUGACAGAGAUGUUGAGAUAUUAGAUGUUCUUGUUUUGAGCAUUGAGGACUGACACCAUGAACUGACUUUCUUUUGAGACAAAAGAUAGAGUAUACAUACAAGGGACACAACUUCAAUCACAUCUGUAUCAGGACAGUCCUUCAAUUCCAGAAUUGGAGUAUCAUCCUUACUACCACUUAAAAGGGGAAGAAAGCUGCACUAAGUCCUGAGUAGAGUGGACCUCCAUUAAUAAAUGAAUGCCCAAUCAUUCUUCCAACAACUCUGAACAGGUCACCAUCCAAAAGUGCUCUAGAUGUCGAAGGAACCUUGUGAUCAUCUUCUCCGUUGAAUAAAAGUGUUUUGCCACAGUUAUCUCGUAAAUUUAUAACAAGAAAAAUGCACUCAGAUGACCAUUCCUAAUAAACCCUUCUAUUAACUAUGCUCAUACUUAUUAAAUUGAGUAAAAAAAAUUAAAAAAAAACUUUUCUUAAAAUGUUUUACAUCCUGUAUUUGCAUACCCUUUACCAUAAUCAUUGUAAUACUUAUUAGUAUCUCCUCACACAUACUAAUAAGGACUUUUCAAACUCUGCUGCACUGUGCUUCACUGAAACCUGGCUGAGUGAAGCCAUUCCGGACAGCGCAUUACAUCUGCCGGGCUUCCAGCUGUUCAGAGCGGAUCGCAUCGCGGAGUUAACGGGGAAAACGAGAGGCGGUGGAACAUGCUUUUACAUCAACGAAAGUUGGUGUACAGAUGUAACAACACUAAAGAGGAUGUGCUGUCCUAAUCUGGAAGCGCUCUUUAUUAACUGUAAGCCGUUCU